rnacentral:rRNA from 1 species
AGAGUUUGAUCCUGGCUCAGAAUGAACGCUGGCGGCGUGCUAACACAUGCAAGUCGAACGAGAAAGCCCAGCUUGCUGGGCAAGUAAAGUGGCGCACGGGUGAGUAACGCGUGGGUAAUCUACCUUUGUCUGGGGGAUAACCUACCGAAAGGUGGGCUAAUACCGCAUAACGUGGUCGGAUUAUGAUUUGAUUACCAAAGAAGGCCUCUCCAUGGAAGCUUUCGGGUAAAGAUGAGCCCGCGUCCCAUUAGCUAGUUGGUAGGGUAAAGGCCUACCAAGGCUACGAUGGGUAGCUGGUCUGAGAGGAUGGCCAGCCACACUGGAACUGGAACACGGUCCAGACUCCUACGGGAGGCAGCAGUGAGGAAUCUUGCGCAAUGGGGGCAACCCUGACGCAGCAACGCCGCGUGAGUGAAGAAGGCCUUCGGGUCGUAAAGCUCUGUCAAGUGGGAAGAAUAGCCUGAAGACGAGUAAUCUUGAGGUGUGACGGUACCACUGGAGGAAGCACCGGCUAACUCCGUGCCAGCAGCCGCGGUAAUACGGAGGGUGCAAGCGUUAUUCGGAAUUAUUGGGCGUAAAGGGCGUGUAGGCGGCCAGACAAGUCAGAUGUGAAAGCCCAGGGCUCAACCCUGGAAGUGCAUUUGAAACUGUUUGGCUUGAGUGCGGGAGAGGAAAGCGGAAUUCCCAGUGUAGAGGUGAAAUUCGUAGAUAUUGGGAGGAACACCGGUGGCGAAGGCGGCUUUCUGGACCGACACUGACGCUGAGGCGCGAAAGCGUGGGGAGCAAACAGGAUUGGAUACCCUGGUAGUCCACGCCGUAAACGAUGGGCACUAGGUGUAGGAGGUUUUUAACCCUCCUGUGCCGUAGCUAACGCAUUAAGUGCCCCGCCUGGGGAGUACGGUCGCAAGAUUAAAACUCAAAUGAAUUGACGG